CAACGUCUUAUUCCGUUUCCACUGACCGCGACUUUUAUCGACUUUCCAGGUCACCGUCCAAGUUCUUACACGGCCAUAGUUCUCUCGGAGACGUGGAAAAUCAGUUGGAUGGAGAGGAAAACCAUGACUGCUGGCGAUUAAUAAUGAUCGGUGAUAAUCCUCGCACAUUGUAUACGUCACACGAAGGAUAAAUAUAGGAAUACAGGACGAAUAUAGCAUGGACACAGCAUGAAGACAGCAGAUUAACAGGAUAAGCACAAUUUUCCAUUCACCAGUACUCUUCUAUGUUUGUCGUAUUACAGAAUCAGACAAGCUUACAUUAUUAUAGAUGAUUGAAAUAUGUCCAUUUUGACUACAAACCCACUGGUGUCUAGACUAGGCAAUAUCGUUGUUACCCGGUUAACGAGGUGAGUAUAUCAUAAUUAAUUUGUGAUAUCAUAUAGAUGAAUAUUUGACGGAUUUUUUAUAGACUACUCGAGUUGCAG